AGGCAGCAGUGGGGAAUAUUGCGCAAUGGGGGGAACCCUGACGCAGCAACGCCGCGUGAGUGAAGAAGGUCUUCGGAUCGUAAAACUCUGUCAUAGGGGAAGAAGAGAUGACGGUACCCUAUGAGGAAGCCCCGGCUAACUAC
rnacentral:rRNA from 1 species